rnacentral:tRNA from 1 species
GCCGACAUAGCUCAAUUGGCAGAGCAGCUGAUUUGUAAUCAGCAGGUUGCGGGUUCAAGUCCCAUUGUCGGCUCCA